AAAACCUCCAAACUGUAAUAUAAUGUAAGUUCAAGAAAUGUAUAACAGUACAUCUUUGUAGCUAGCUAGUUUAGAAAUUCUUGUUUACAGGAAUAUCAGUGGCAUUUACCUUGUAUUACAGCUUAGAUGAGGUCUUGUAUUACAGCUUAGAUGCAGGAUAUUUAUGACAUUGUAAAAUUGCCUAAAAAAUGCAUCUAAGCUGUAAUACAAGACCUCAU
rnacentral:misc_RNA from 1 species